rnacentral:rRNA from 1 species
UUGGAGGGCAAGUCUGGUGCCAGCAGCCGCGGUAAUUCCAGCUCCAAUAGCGUAUAUUAAAGUUGUUGCAGUUAAAAGGCUCGUAGUUGAACCUUGGGUCUGGCUGGCCGGUCCGCCUCACCGCGAGUACUGGUCCGGCUGGACCUUUCCUUCUGGGGAACCUCAUGGCCUUCACUGGCUGUGGGGGGAACCAGGACUUUUACUGUGAAAAAAUUAGAGUGUUCAAAGCAGGCCUUUGCUCGAAUACAUUAGCAUGGAAUAAUAGAAUAGGACGUGCGGUUCUAUUUUGUUGGUUUCUAGGACCGCCGUAAUGAUUAAUAGGGAUAGUCGGGGGCGUCAGUAUUCCGCUGUCAGAGGUGAAAUUCUUGGAUUUGCGGAAGACUAACUACUGCGAAAGCAUUCGCCAAGGAUGUUUUCAUUAAUCAGGGAACGAAAGUUAGGGGAUCGAAGACGAUCAGAUACCGUCGUAGUCUUAACCAUAAACUAUGCCGACUAGGGAUCGGACGGGAUUCUAUGAUGACCCGUUCGGCACCUUACGGGAAAC